UAGACGAUAAUCCCUUAGAAAAUAGUUGGGGUGUGGCAAUUAUUCGGGUUGAGGGAGUUACAAUUUUGUGCCGGUAUGAACUUCAAUGUGACAUUUUCUCCCCAACUUAGUUUUCUUCAUCAUCAUCCAAACUUCUAUUUGAAUCUGAUUGAACUUCACUCACUUCCUGCAAUAGAAAAUGAAACUCGAGAGUGAAAGAAUUGAUAAACUAUCACUUCCUUGCAUGAGAUAUUAAAAGAAUGCAAAGAAACCUGAGUUUCUUCCUUAAAGACGUCUCCAAUGCUAGGAUUUUCAAAGAUUCCACUUCCUAUGUUUACACUGGCUUUAGAUUCAUUCUCCUUGCUUGGUCUGCC
rnacentral:lncRNA from 1 species